UGUGCAGGGAUUGUGUGUAUCGGCUCAGUGCUAUAUAAUCAAUGCACUCUGAAUCCGAAAGAGUUCCCUGCAAAAUCAGAUUCAGGGGAAGGUGGGCAGUUGAGCUUCAAUCUUAACCGUUGAAAUCCUCAACAAUCAUCUUCCCUACAUCU
rnacentral:snoRNA from 1 species